GAUGAACGCUAGCUACAGGCUUAACACAUGCAAGUCGAGGGGCAGCGGUAUCGAAAGCUUGCUUUCGGUAGCCGGCGACCGGCGCACGGGUGAGUAACGCGUAUCGAACCUGCCUCAUACUCGGGAAUAGCCUUGCGAAAGCAAGAUUAAUGCCCGGUGUUUUCAGAGUCCCGCAUGAGGCUUUGAACAAAGAUUUAUCGGUAUGAGAUGGCGAUGCGUCCCAUUAGCUUGUUGGCGGGGUAACGGCCCACCAAGGCAUCGAUGGGUAGGGGUUCUGAGAGGAAGGUCCCCCACAUUGGAACUGAGACACGGUCCAAACUCCUACGAGAGGCAGCAGUGAGGAAUAUUAGGCAAUGGGCGGAAGCCUGAACCAGCCAAGUAGCGUGCAGGAAGACGGCCCUCCGGGUUGUAAACUGCUUUUAGUUGGGAAUAAAACGGGGCUCGUGAGCCCCCUUGCAUGUACCAUCAGAAAAAGGACCGGCUAAUUCCGUG
rnacentral:rRNA from 1 species